GCCAGCAGCUAGCUCUCUGCAUCGUCGCCCACUGAAGCUAAGCAGAGCUGUGCCUGGUCAGUACCUGGAUGGGAGACCACAUGGGAAAGCUAGAUUGCUGCUGGAA
rnacentral:rRNA from 1 species